rnacentral:rRNA from 1 species
AUGCCGCUGCUCCCCAUCCAAGUGAUGAAGGAUCAGUGCUGCCAGGAGCUGGCCGCCAUCUCGUGGAACUGCCGCUGCGAGGGGCUGCGCGUCUUCAUCGACCGGGCGUUCCCUCCCAGCCAAAGCCAAGGCGGUGGCCCCCCGCAGCCGCCGCUGGCACCUAGGUGCCCGACGGAGGUGAAGAGGGACUUCGCCAGAACGCUCGCCCUGCCGGGGCAGUGCAACCUGCCCACCAUCCAUGGCGGCCCCUACUGCGUCUUCCCAUGA